AUGAUCCAAAUUCAAAAAUUUUGAAAAUAUAUUUUUGUGACGUCAUCUCUUGCUUUGCUUUUGUGUCGUAAUCAUUUGCUUUGUUUCUGUGACGCCAUCACUUUAGAACUCUAUCGCUUUGUUUCUUAGAUUCGAUACAAAGAGAAGCUUCGCCCGUUGCCUUUGGUUUGCACUUUGCUAUCAGUUUCCAUGUGGGGAUGUGCGUUGGUUUUCUUUUUUAAAGGCCUAACAAACUGGCAGUACAGCCCAGCAAAAUCACGUGAAGGAAACAGAGAAUGUCGAGUAAUGGAUUUCUAUGAUGACCAUGACAUUUGGCAUUUUCUAUCGUCCAUGGCAAUGUUCUUCACAUUCACCUCAUUAAUGACACUUGAUGAUGAUUUGGAUGAGAAAGAAAGAAACAAGAUAAACGUAUUUUAAUUUUUGAUUUGCAUGUCACGAAAUUAUUCCUUUUUUGCUGGCUAUGUUUGUCUAACAACAAUUAUUGAAUGACAAAACACAUGCAUAUUGUAUCUAUUACUUAAUUUUAACUAAAUUCCAAAUAUAGCUGCUGUUCAGUUUUACCCUUGUUUGAUAAUCAUAUUCAUAGAAUCUACAUUACCAAGAACAUACAUGGAUAAUUACAUUUAACCAAUUAGUUAUUGUGAGUGGCAAUCUUUGGGUAAAAAUCUUUACGGCUAGAAAUUGGGACACUGUCACUGUCCUGAUCUGUUGGUAUUUUCCUGAGGUAUUUCCGAUUUAAGAGAGACAUAGUUAUACCUUGUUUCACAGUCGUGCUAUAAUCAGGUCGUAGCUUCAAGCGGUUCUAAUACAUUAAUCCUUGUAUUUCUAGCACGUUUCUUAACGGUUGAAAUCGAUUCUAUUGCCCCUAGUUUUGUGAAAGACUUAUCUAUCAAUGGUAAGAAAUAUGUUUGAAUUGUUGUGGGAAGUAGAAAUUUGUAUUUUCGAGAAAUUUCAUUGAUAAGAUGUUUUUGAUUUAAAUGAA